rnacentral:rRNA from 1 species
CCUACGUGGGGCAGCAGUGAGGAAUAUUGGUCAAUGGGCGCGAGCCUGAACCAGCCAAGUAGCGUGAAGGAUGACUGCCCUACGGGUUGUAAACUUCUUUUAUAAAGGAAUAAAGUGAGGCACGUGUGCCUUUUUGUAUGUACUUUAUGAAUAAGGAUCGGCUAACUCCGUGCCAGCAGCCGCGGUAAUACGGAGGAUCCGAGCGUUAUCCGGAUUUAUUGGGUUUAAAGGGAGCGUAGAUGGGUUGUUAAGUCAGUUGUGAAAGUUUGCGGCUCAACCGUAAAAUUGCAAUUGAUACUGGCAGUCUUGAGGACAGUUGAGGUAGGCGGAAUUCGUGGUGUAGCGGUGAAAUGCUUAGAUAUCACGAAGAACUCCGAUUGCGAAGGCAGCUUACUAAACUGCCACUGACAUUGAUGCUCGAAAGUGUGGGUAUCAAACAGGAUUAGAUACCCCAGUAGUC